UGGGGAAUAUUGGACAAUGGGCGCAAGCCUGAUCCAGCCAUACCGCGUGGGUGAAGAAGGCCUUCGGGUUGUAAAGCCCUUUUGUUGGGAAAGAAAUCCAGCUGGCUAAUACCCGGUUGGGAUGACGGUACCCAAAGAAUAAGCACCGGCUAACUUCGUG
rnacentral:rRNA from 2 species